rnacentral:rRNA from 1 species
CCUACGGGAGGCAGCAGUGAGGAAUAUUGGUCAAUGGACGAGAGUCUGAACCAGCCAAGUAGCGUGAAGGAUGACUGCCCUAUGGGUUGUAAACUUCUUUUAUAAAGGAAUAAAACGAGGCACGUGUGCCUUUUUGCAUGUACUUUAUGAAUAAGGAUCGGCUAACUCCGUGCCAGCAGCCGCGGUAAUACGGAGGAUCCGAGCGUUACCCGGAUUUAUUGGGUUUAAAGGGAGCGUAGAUGGGUUGUUAAGUCAGUUGUGAAAGUUUGCGGCUCAACCGUAAAAUUGCAAUUGAUACUGGCAGUCGUGAGUACAGUUGAGGUAGGCGGAAUUCGUGGUGUAGCGGUGAAAUGCUUAGAUAUCACGAAGAACCCCGAUUGCGAAGGCAGCUUACUAAACUGUGACUGACAUUGAUGCUCGAAAGUGUGGGUAUCAAACAGGAUUAGAUACCCGAGUAGUC